AUGGUUGUGCUUUCAGGUGAGCCUCAAAGGAGGAUCCUCGAAUCAGUCUCUCGUCUGACGACCGUCAGCUGCUCCUACUGCCACCAACUUGUCCCCUGCCCAAGCCUGUCACUGUGCCGCCUCUCAGCAGGUGAUGAAAAAGACAUAAAUAUAUUUUUAUAUGCUGAGGAGAUGGUACCCAGAGAUACCAACAUUACAGGAGGAAGAGGGGUGAGUGAUAGGGCAGAGCCUGAGGAGGACAGGCCCACCAAACGUGAAGUAUCAGCCUUGGAUGAGGAGAUUCUUCUAGCCAAAGUGCCGGAGGACCUGACAGAUGUGGCCUAAACUGUGAAGAAGGUGUUCUCCCAGGCUCGAGGAUCAGAGGUGGACUGUCCAAGGUACAUCCAGCUUGGGGCUUGGGUGGGUUGCCCUGCUCAGUCCCCAGUGGCCAAUAUGGCAAGACUUAUUCAAUCAAGGCAGCCAAAGACAAGACUUCUCCUCUUGAACCUUGACAAGAAAGAAAAUGAGGGGUGACCGGGGAAAGGGGUGGGAUAGCAGGCAGCUCUGAGGACCUGCAAAGGCUGACUGUAUGUAAUGGCACCAGUGCCAGUACAUGGGUGGUUUCUUCAGCAUCACCUUGCAGCCCUUUUAUGUGAGUGGAGCAGGGACAGUGUUGUACUGAUAUGGCAGGAAAGACACAAGUCUUGAGAGAAAGUGAGUGGCCAUGAGUUGGAUUGUCCACAAGGCUGACCAUGGCACUGUGUGGCACUGGGGACAUGGUACUUUGAGGCUGAGAGGGAGUAAGGGAGUGAGCGAGGAAGGCUCGGAAGUUUGUGAUCAGAGGUGCUACUGCAGAUGUGGACAGACAUGGUCUGGAGGGGACCCAGGAGAUAUGACCAAGGAGGCGGAGGGGCUUCCAGAGAGGAUGUGGCAGGGCUAAGAGUCCCUGCAUCUCAGAUGUAGGAGUCCCCACCCUACCAGCUUAUUCUGUCUUUGGGACACAAGAAGCCAGACCUGGCAAAGGGGGAUCUUUUCCAAAUAUUAAGCAAUCAGCCAGAGUUCUCUCCCUGCGUUGAAGAGUGGAGUAUGUUGAAAAUGUGCACCUCUUUAUAAACAGGGGAAGAAAGAGAAAAUAGUUGGGUGGGAUCAGGGUGCUCUUAAUCCAGGGGCUGGAGGGAGGGAAAGGGCUGCUCCAGGUUUGAUGAGGCUCUGGCUCUGCUGGUAACAUUUCCUGAAAGGCAUGCCUCCUCCCACUUAUACACCCUCACAGCCACCCCCACCCUACAGUGCAGAGCCGCCCCCCCCUCCAUCUUCCUCCCCAGUCUUCCUUCUUCACUCCUGGUGACCCUGCCUUCAGCUGCCUUCUCCUCAGCCAUCCCUGUGCCCCCCUUUCAGCGACCUCCCCAACUCCUAAAAGCCCAAAGCCAAUGAUGAGGAAAGAGAAGGAUGAGUUCUGGAAUGGGAAGGGAAGCUCAGGAUCUGAGGGCAGUGAUUUUUGGCUCCUCUUUGACUUCCAUCAGGCCGCAGAGGGUUGGGAACUAGACUGUCUCCUCCUUCCUUUUGCAUGGACACACAGGCAUACGGGUGUACAUAAACAUUCACAUCCAUAGAGGCACAGCCACGCACACAUGGUUGGGCACAGGGCAGGCACCUCAGGCAAGAGGACACACACAGGGACAUAUAUAUACCUGAAUACACAUGCAGAAAUGCACGCACGACUCUCCAUGGUGGGGUGUAGGAGACCCCAGGGUUUCCAAGCGCCAACUAUUCAUGAUUCUCCUUUUGUCAUUGAGUAGAAGUUCCCAACCAAGACAGGAACACACACCUACUAGACUCUGAUUUAGGCAGCUUUUCUGUAUCUAAUAAUAAGAGAUUUCAAAAAGUUGCAUGUGGGCAUGUGAAGCCGCCACCAUGUCUCGCCUGGACCACAGAGUUUGCACAUAUGUGAAAACCCCACAGACGUGGCCUGUGCACCAACAUACGGCUUAGCCUCCUCAUGUUUCCCUGUGUGCCUUUGGAAGCUACUGCCCCCUGUGUGACCCAUUUUCGGCUCUCAGACUGAAUGAUUGGGCCCCUUCCAAAUAGUUUGUCAUUAGACGGGGGCAACUGAAACCUACGGCAUCUAUGUGGAAAUCUAUGGUUGCUUGUGGAACAGUUAGCAUUACACUGUUCUUUUCUUAGUCAUGUGGCAUGAUUCCAUGUCACAUCAGGGAGAAUUUCUUGCUUCUUCUAGAAAAAAUAUAUCAAUGCUUGGGAUAGGGGUGUGUGUGUGUGUGUGUGUGUGUGUGUGUGUGUGUGUUAUUGUUUAAAAACAAACUCUCAGCCUAGAGUCUAAGAUUUUUGGAAUUAGAGCAAGUUAAAAUUAAUAAUAAAGCAAUUAUUUUCAAGGGAAACACAGUACUUACAGCAGUAGGUUGUUGGGGGGCCAUUUGAAACUAUGGAAAGAACCCUCCUUCGCUGGGCUUCAAAGCUUUGAGUCUGGGUUCUAGAUCUGCAGUUUGGCUGUAAGAUCUUUAGCUAUUGUCUUAAUUUCUCUGAGUUUUGUACUUUCCUUACUUACAAAACAGAACUUAAUAUGUUUUGCAACUAGAGGCUCCUAGAAGAGUGAAUGAACAAACGUGUAGGAAAAUUAUUUGUUCCUAACAAAGUACUACACAGAAGGGACACCUGGGUGGCUCAGCAGUUGAGUGUCUGCCUUUGGCUCUGGGCAUGAUCCUGGUUUGGGGAUUGAGUGCCCCAUCGGGCUCCCUGUAAGGAGCCUGCUUCUCCCUCUGCCUAUGUCUCUGCCUCUCUCUGUGUCUCUCAUGAAUAAAUAAAUAAAAUCUUUAAAAAAAGUACUACACAGAAGUCAAGGUGUUACCUAUGGUCACAGGGGUAGCAAAGUACCACUGGGGCCAUCAGGUGUCUUCCACUCCCUCUACCUACAGCUGAGAAAGUCUUGCUAAAUGUAAAUCUGAGGUCACGCUUCCCUCACUCUAGUGAAACAUUUCUUUCUCUGGUC
rnacentral:lncRNA from 1 species